rnacentral:lncRNA from 1 species
AUACUUGUUUUAGACUGCAGAGAAUAUUGACUGAAAGAAGAGAAGCAUUCUAUCUGUUACAAUAAAGUAGUAACUUCUAUGGUACAUCCAAGCUGAAAUGGAAAUUGGACGUCUUUGCAUACUGAUUUUUAAUUGGUUAUCAGGCAUCCAAAUGGAUUUAGCUCUCUGAGAUAACAAAGGAGUCUCAUUUGGCUUCCACUGAAGAUACUAGUGUGUCAGACAACGCAAGCAUGCCUGUGAGUGGUGAAGUCAUGAAAUUAUGAAGGUUAACUGAGAACAAGCUAAAGACAGAAUAGUCGUGGGAAAUCCCAACCUUAAAGAGGCAGCAUAUAAUUUCGAACAAACACUGAGACUACAGCUACUCUGGCCAAAUUGUCCUAAUUCUCUGUGCCUUCUAGAAGCCAAUGACAUCGAGGCAACUUCUUUGAGGAUAAGAACGUUGUGAAUUUAUUGUAGUUCAUGAGUGUAGUAACAUUUUCUCAAAUGUUAUGCUUAUAUUCUUCCAAAAUGAAGAAUUAGGUAAUUUGGGCUCUUUCCUACCAAAUUAAGUUAAACACUUUUUCUGUAUUUCACAGAGUUCAUUGAUUGUGCAUUUUAAAAAGGAUCCU